rnacentral:rRNA from 1 species
UACGUAGGGUGCGAGCGUUAAUCGGAAUUACUGGGCGUAAAGCGUGCGCAGGCGGUCUGUUAAGACCGAUGUGAAAUCCCCGAGCUCAACUUGGGAACUGCGUUUGAAACUACAGGACUAGAAUAUGUCAGAGGGGGGGUAGAAUUCCACGUGUAGCAGUGAAAUGCGUAGAGAUGUGGAGGAAUACCAAUGGCGAAGGCAGCCCCCCUGGGCCCAACACUGACGCUCA